rnacentral:rRNA from 1 species
GAUGAACGCUGGCGGCGUGCCUAAUACAUGCAAGUCGAGCGAACAGACGAGGAGCUUGCUCCUCUGACGUUAGCGGCGGACGGGUGAGUAACACGUGGAUAACCUACCUAUAAGACUGGGAUAACUUCGGGAAACCGGAGCUAAUACCGGAUAAUAUAUUGAACCGCAUGGUUCAAUAGUGAAAGACGGUUUUGCUGUCACUUAUAGAUGGAUCCGCGCCGCAUUAGCUAGUUGGUAAGGUAACGGCUUACCAAGGCAACGAUGCGUAGCCGACCUGAGAGGGUGAUCGGCCACACUGGAACUGAGACACGGUCCAGACUCCUACGGGAGGCAGCAGUAGGGAAUCUUCCGCAAUGGGCGAAAGCCUGACGGAGCAACGCCGCGUGAGUGAUGAAGGUCUUCGGAUCGUAAAACUCUGCUAUUAGGGAAGAACAAAUGUGUAAGUAACUAUGCACGUCUUGACGGUACCUAAUCAGAAAGCCACGACUAACUACGUG